GACGAACGCUGGCGGCGUGCUUAACACAUGCAAGUCGAACGGAAAGGCCCUGCUUUUGCGGGGUGCUCGAGUGGCGAACGAGUGAGUAACACGUGAGUAACCUGCCCUUGACUUUGGGAUAACUUCAGGAAACUGGGGCUAAUACCGGAUAGGAGCUCCUGCUGCAUGGUGGGGGUUGGAAAGUUUCGGCGGGUGGGGAUGGACUGGCGGCUUAUCAGCUUGCUGGUGGGGGAGUGGCUUACCAAGGAUUUGACGGGUAGCCGGCCUGGGAGGGUGGCCGGCCACAUUGGGACUGGAAUACGGCCCAGACUCCUACUGGGGGCAGCAGUGGGGAGUAUUGCACAAUGGGCGGAAGCCUGAUGCAGCAACGCCGCGUGCGGGAUGACGGCCUUCGGGUUGUAAACCGCUUUCGCCUGUGACGAAGCGUGAGUGACGGUAAUGGGUAAAGAAGCACCGGCUAACUACGUGCCAGCCGCCGCAGUAACAC
rnacentral:rRNA from 1 species